rnacentral:misc_RNA from 1 species
GAUGAAGAACGUAGCGAAAUGCGAUAAGUAAUGCGAAUUGCAGAAUUCAGUGAGUCAUCGAAUCUUUGAACGCACAUUGCGCCCUUUGGUAUUCCUUAGGGCAUGCCUGUUCGAGCGUCAUUUAAACCUUCAAGCUCAGCUUGGUGUUGGGUGACUGUCCGCUUCACCGCGGACUCGCCUCAAAAUUAUUGGCGGCCGGUACAUUGGCUUCGAGCGCAGCAGAAACGCGAACUCGGGCCCGUCGUAUUGGCUCCCAGAAGCUAUCUUCACAAUUUUGACCUCGGAUCAGGUAGGGAUACCCGCUGAACUUAAGCAUAUCAAUAAGCGGAGGA